rnacentral:rRNA from 1 species
GACGAACGCUGGCGGCGUGCUUAACACAUGCAAGUCGAACGCAAAGGCCAUGCUAUUGUGGGGUGCUCGAGUGGCGAUUGGGUGUGUAACACGGGCGUAACCUUCACUCGACUUUGGGCUACCUCCUGGAAACUGGGGACAAUAAGGGAUAGGAGCUCCUGCUGCAUGGUGGGGGUUGGUAAGAUUAGGCGGUUGGGGAAGGACUCGCGGCUUAUGAGGUUGUUGGUGGGGUAUAGGUAUACGAAGGCUUUGGCGGGUAGCCGGCCUGAGAGGGUGAGCGGCCACAGUGGGACUGAGAUACGGCCCAGGCUCCUACGUGAGGCAGCAGUGGGGAAUAGUGCACAAUGGGCGGAAGCCUAAUGCAGCAGCGCCGCGGGCGGGAUAACGGCCAUGUGUUUGUGAACCGCAUUCGCCUGUAACAGGGCAGAAAGGGCGGUAAUGGGUAAAGAAGCACCGGCUAACUACGUG